UACCACCGCAAUCAACCAUGGCACUUUCUGGCUGUGUUUGAUUUUUCUACCCGGAUUAAUGGUGAGGUUACUCAUCCCAAUAUCAAGAGGUGCGGGGUUCAGCUGAUGUACACCCGUGAUUCUCUAAACAGCAGUGUGCCUAUGUUGUUGGAUCAUCAAAGAGGCCAUGAUGAUGCCGGGAAAAACCAAGCAGAAGAUCAGGAACCAUGCCGUAAAAGAUUGAGAGCAUCCAGCACUGAUCUCAAGCUUUAAGCUCCAUUGUCAGGUGCGCUUGCUAGCUAAGUCCUUAUAUUCCACCAUCUCUCUAUUUUAUUUGUUCAUUCAAGCCCUCAUGGAAACUUACUGGUUACAACAACUGAAGAAUCAAUGUUGACUUAGCACCACCAUGGCUGGACUCUGGAGCACCCUGCUGCCCUUCUAACCACCAUGAGAACCACUGCACUGCCAUUCUUGAAGCCAGACUGGCCACCAUUUAGUAGAGUGAUCCCCACCUUGAUGUUGAUUCCAUGCACUUAUUUUUUAACAGGGUUUACUAAUUCUUCAGCAUGAUGUAUUCGUAACUAGCAUCCUUUGAUGUAGAAUGAGACAUGACAACUCCAUACAUGUCUAAGCAAGGAAAACUGAAAGGUCAUGUAAUAUCCAAAAUUUGUCAUACCUUGCCUCAAAGCUCCUCCCUUCCGAA